AAGUCGUAACAACGUCUCCGUUGGUGACCAGCGGAGGGAUCAUUACCGAGUUUACAACUCCCAAACCCCUGUGAACAUACCACUUGUUGCCUCGGCGGAUCAGCCCGCUCCCGGUAAAACGGGACGGCCCGCCAGAGGACCCCUAAACUCUGUUUCUAUAUGUAACUUCUGAGUAAAACCAUAAAUAAAUCAAAACUUUCAACAACGGAUCUCUUGGUUCUG
rnacentral:misc_RNA from 1 species